GCCGACGUGGCGGAAUUGGCAGACGCGCUAGACUCAAAAUCUGGUACUCGGAAGAGUGUGUGGGUUCGACCCCCUCCGUCGGCACCA
rnacentral:tRNA from 2 species